CGGCUAAUUUUUUUGUAUUUUUAGUAGAGACGGGGUUUCACCGUGUUAGCCAGGAUGGUCUCGAUCUCCUGACCUCGUGAUCCGCCCGCCUCGGCCUCCCAAAGUGCUGGGAUUACAAGCGUGAGCCACCGCGCCCAGCCCGAUAAUUUUUGAAAACAGUCAUUUGCCUGUGGUUUACAGAGCACUCUGACUGUUAUCUCAGUGAGUGCUUAUGCCUGUGAGGUAGGUACACCAUUGUUACCAU
rnacentral:lncRNA from 1 species